GCUCCCGUGAUUCUCCUCCAGCGACUUUGACAAACUCCGUACGAACUUCCCCAUAAUUUCUCCAGGCGCUCGCCGGCCGCCUCUCUCCGACCACCACUCAUCCGCUUCCGCCCGACGGAAAAUCUGAUUGGAAAGGGGAAAUUGGCAUGAUUAUCAUACCAAGAUUCGCACACACCAGUUCUAAAUCGAAUUGAAUUUUCCAGUUUUAUUCUCUAUCAGAUUCUUUCUUAGAGCCUCAGAGUAGUUUAAAGGCCCCUCUUGAUACUACAGACUUUGAAAGAAGAAGUUUUGAAAGAGAUUGAUGGCUGAAUCUAGUUCUCUCUUGUGCCAAAACCAUUGGGGUUUGCCUCAAAUAAUAGACGAUCCCUAACUCCAGUUUGAAAAUAUUACUUUACCACUUGGCGAGCGAAAAUCAUAAUCUGGGACCUUGGUUAUCUAUCUGUUUAGUAAUGGGAUGGAUAUAACUAGCUAGGUUUUGUUUUCAGUGUUAUCCUGAUUUGUUUAAUUUUGUCUUUCUUCUUCAGAGAAAGUAGAUUUUGUUUUGUUAUUUGAUUUUGUUAUUUUGUUAUUUUCUAAGUAAUUCUUAGAAGUUGUAUCAUUGGAUUGGCUUUUAGCAAGGUGAAGUGGCUCAGGUUGAUUGCAUAUUUAGCUUGUUAUGGACCCCUCGAUUAUGAAGCUUCUGGAGGAUGACGAGGAUGAAACAAUGCAUUCAGGUGCUGCCGUGGAGGCUUUUCAGGCUGCCUUGAACAGAGACAUAGAAGGUGAUGUUCACGCUGUUUCCCAGACUUCCGAAUCAGAUGCAGCUUUCCCUCGAGGGAACAACAAUGGCUCAUCUUCCCUCUCAUUACAAGCUUCUAGUCAAAAUGAAAAUACUGAAUCUCAUGUGCAACAAGAGCAAAAUUUUCGUCCGAAGCAAGAACAACAUUCAUCUCUGAUGGAACUAGAGCGUUCAGUACCUGAAAAUCAGCAGCAACAUAGUUCUGCCCCGCUUCAAGUUCCAAAGAAUCAACCUGCAGCAGAUCGUGAACAAGGGGAGGCAGAGCAAGUUUCUGCUCAGUUUUCUCAAACAGCAGGGCUGCAAGUUUCUGAAAAAGCUCCAAUCCUUGUGAAUGACUCAAACAGAAUGCAGAAUCGAGACAAUGAAUCUCAAUACUUGAAGUUACAGAAGAUGAGUAAUCAGCAGUCAAUGGUCGCAGAACAGGCAAAUAACCCACAAAACCGUAGCAAACAGGUGCCUUUUGCCUCGUUGAUGCCUGUAUUGAUGCCUCAGCUUGAUAAAGACAGAGCCAUGCAGCUUCAUACUUUAUUUAACAGAUUGAAGAAAAAUGAAAUGAACAAAGAUGAUUUUAUCCGGCUCAUGAGGGGUGUUGUGGGCGAUCAGAUGCUCAGAUUAGCAGUAUGUCAAGUACAAUCACAGCCUCCACCUUCGGUAAGGCAACUUUCUCCUAGAAUGCCAUCUAUGGGUCCUGGUGCACCAAAUUUCUCUGAUCCACGACCAUUUGCACAACUUCAUCAGAAAGGCAUGAAUUCUCCUGCAGUUCAAUCAUACAUGCCCUCUUCAGCGUCCCAAGGGCGGAGUAGUUCAGGCUAUCCUGCCAUGGACAAGAAUAUGCAAUCUUUACGAGAAGUAGAACAGCGACCUGAUAAUAAUGGAAAUCAAUUGACUUCAUCCAGUACAGGCACCAUCCAAGAAAGGGAACGCUCCUCAGUUCCUGUUCCAGGACUUGAGAAGCAGCAGCUACACUUUCAACAGAAAUCUUUUCCCAUGUAUGGAAACAGUAGUAGUUAUCACCCGUAUACUGGGUCAAACAUAAAUGCCUCUUCAUUGUCUCUUAAACCCCAACCCCAUGAGGGUCAAGUGAAGCAGAUUUCCCAGCAGGCUCCCACUUUUGACAGGCAAGUUACUAUAAAUGAUUCCAAGCGAGUCCAGGGUGGAAAUGUUCCACACUUGCAUAGUAACGUAACUGCACAACAAAAUCCCUGGAAAUCCUCAACAAGUAAAGAGCAAAACACAGGCCCUUUAUCAUCAAUGAGUUACAUUGCACAGGAACCUUCUGAUCAGGUUUCUGAGCAGAACAAAACCCAACAUUCAAAUCUGCAGAGCUUGUCUUCUAUUCCUAGCAUGCAGGCUGAACAUGUUAACACAACCCCUGGAAUAGCAAAGGACCCUUUUGACAAACAAACUUCUAAAAUGGGUUUUCCUACAUCAAACAAUGUUAUGCCUCCAACAUCAACCAACGCAGCAAAUUCAAUUUCAUCUGAUUCAAGUUCUCUACACGAGUCUAAUGCUAUGUUAAGCUCUCAGGUUCCUUCUGCAAAUACUCCUGGAAUGCAAAAUAGGGCACCUCCAAAAAAAGCAGCCGUGGGCCAGAAGAAGCCUCUUGAAGCACUUGGCUCUUCACCACCCCUAUCAAGUAAGAAGCAAAAAGUAUCUGGGGCAUUUUCGGAUCAAAGCAUUGAACAACUUAACGAUGUCACUGCAGUCAGUGGAGUUAAUAUUCGGGAAGAAGAAGAACAACUAUUUUCUAGUGCAAAGGAGGAUAGUCGAGCUUCUGAAGCAUCACGGAGGGUUGUGCAAGAAGAAGAAGAGAGGCUGCUAUUGCAGAAAGCCCCAUUGCAGAAAAAGCUGGUGGAAAUCAUGGCUAAAUGUGGUUUGAAGGGCAUGAGCAAUGACGUUGAGAAAUGUCUCUCAUUGUGUGUGGAGGAAAGAUUACGUGGGAUUAUUAGUAAUCUAAUCAGGCUGUCAAAGCAGCGAGUGGACACGGAGAAAACAAAGCACCGAAUGGUUAUUACUUCAGAUGUUCGACAACAAAUUAUGUUAUUUAACCAAAAGGCCAGAGAAGAAUGGGAGAAGAAGCAGGCUGAAGAAGAAAAACUCCGAAAGCUUAAUGAUCCCGAGGAUGGUUCAGGUGUUGCCGGUGACAAGGAGAAAGAUGAAGGUCGAAUGAAAUCAGUUAAUAAGGUAAACAAAGAGGAGGACGAUAAAAUGCGGACAACAGCAGCAAAUGUUGCUGCCCGUGCUGCUGUUGGAGGAGACGACGUGCUAUCAAAAUGGCAACUGAUGGCUGAACAAGCUCGACAGAAACGUGAAGGUGGAAUGGAUUCAGCUUCUGGUUCUCAGUCAGGGAAAGAUGCUGUCCGUAAGUCUUCUUCAGCAGCUCGACAUGGGAAGGACAACCUAGAAGGUGAAAGAAAAGGAAAUUCCAAGAAAUUUGGAAAAAAUCAAACGAAUGCAACUCAAACUAGGGUGGUUCGUAGUAUUUCUGUUAAAGAUGUCAUUGCUGUGCUGCAAAGGGAACCCCAGAUGUCGAGAUCCACCACAAUCUAUCGUUUGUUUAACAGAGUUCAUCCCGAAGCCACUGGUGAAUAGAAUCGACUAUAACAAUGAUAAACUAAUAUCCCUGCAGACGCACACUCGGUGGGUUGUCUUUCCGAACUGAAGGUGAAUAGUCUUUGGGAAACCGAGCUGAUGAGAAAACCAAACUGAAUUGCUACACGACAUACCAUAACCGAACUGCUGUGAAUUGAGUAAUUGACGAUUCAGUCUGUUUGAUUUGGUAAUUCAUCAUUUGCUUUAACAUAGACACAUCUAGACACAUUGGGGAGCCUAAGAUGAACAUGGAUAUCUCAAUUAAAAAGAGCUUGCUCCAAUCAUGAGACCUCAAGAUUAGAAGCCACUUUCAAAGCCAUUUGGAUGGCUCUUGCUUGCUAGUUCAUAGAUAUUUCAGUUUUUAAUACUAAUGAUAACUGUCAGCCUAGAGUAUAUUCGGUCUGCCAAACCCGAAUCUGAUUGAAUAUAAUUGGUUUUCCUUGUAUGAAAAUUGGAACUGGCGACCGAACCAGUUUCAAACUGAAACGGCGUUGGUUUAAGUGGUUAUUUUGGGGUUUUGAUUCUCUUGCA